GAUGAACGCUGGCGGCGUGCCUAACACAUGCAAGUCGAACGGAGUUCUUAAGGAAUGCGACUUCGGUCAAAUGACUUUUGAACUUAGUGGCGGACGGGUGAGUAACGCGUGAGCAACCUGCCUUUCAGAGGGGGAUAACAUUUGGAAACAGAUGCUAAUACCGCAUAAGAUUACAGUACCGCAUGAUACAGUGAUCAAAGGAGCAAUCCGCUGAAAGAUGGGCUCGCGUCCGAUUAGAUAGUUGGUGAGGUAACGGCUCACCAAGUCGACGAUCGGUAGCCGGACUGAGAGGUUGAACGGCCACAUUGGGACUGAGACACGGCCCAGACCCU
rnacentral:rRNA from 1 species